UUGAUUUCUGUUGGUUUGUUGUAUAAUAUUAAUCAAUUAGUUGGAAAUUUAUUUACCAGAUAAAGUAAAUUUUGUAGUGCAGUGCCACGCUAGUAGUGGAAUUUAUACGUUAUAGUGAAAAUUAUGAGACUAUAAACUAAAACAAUUUUGCAUUGAAAAUAUAUGAUUUUCGGCGGUGAUAAAAAAAAACCUUAAAAUGAGCAGCGGGAGUGCCGACCUGAGCGACGGGGGCGACGGGGCGUGGGCGCUGGAAGGGGUCUCGCCGGAGCAGGAGGAGGGGCAGCCGGCCGCCGACUGGCAGUCUUCGCCCACACAGGAGCACAGAGACCUGAGCCUGCACUUGCAGGACGACGUGUUCACCGCCGACACCAAGUGUCUGCUGAGGUAGCAAGCUGGCGGCGCCCCGCCCCUCCCUCCGGCUCCUCCGAGUCGGGAGCGACCGCGGGCCUCGCCGGGCAUCGAAGAAACAAGGGCGUAGGACCCCUCUCCCUGCACCCCUGCCCCGUGAAGUGGUGUUCCAGCGCACGGUACGCUUUGGAAGGUAUGACAAAUUAAAAAAAGCUUCAAUUCAGGUAUCGAACUUCCGUUCACGCCAAAGCCUUUCAGAGAUUAACGGGAACUGAACGACAUUUUUUUUUGAGUGCAUGGAUUAGAAUUAUUUUGUGUUGACACUUGAAGUGAACUGGUGCAAGUUAAGGAGGAAUAAACUUGUGUCACGCGUGUGACUUUAGAUUUACAUUAAUGUCUGUAUCACGAUAAUGUUCUGAGUGAAAUUUUGUUCAUUUUUUGUUAACUAAUUUAUUUUAUGCAAAAUUUCUUACGCCUAAUAGUAGUAUUUGUAAGAUUUGGACAGGACAUGGAAAAUUUAAAACUACUUAAAUGGAUAAUUUUGUCAAAUUUACUAUGAAAAAUAGUUAAAUUAAAAAAACAAAUUGUAAUUCUGUCACCCUUUAACAUUCUAUUUAAAAAUAUCUACAUUCACUAUAAAUUAGGUACAUUUAAAUACAUAUAGAUGAAGCUAUUAGAAAGGAUUUUAAUAUGAUAUAUUUUAAAGAAUAUUCAUACUUAACACCAGUUCCCUCAAUUUAUUCAUAUUACUCAUAAACUCAUACAAUAAUUGGACUUAAUUAUUAACAGUUGUAAAUGUUUUUCAACUCACCAUUACAUUGUUGGUUAAGCCGAGUAUUUUAGUAAAUUCUUUAACUAUAUAAAUAACCAUACAUACUCAUUGUCCUUCAUCAUUCUUUGCACCUUUAUUUUUAUUUUUUUAUAAAUCACAUAUUUAGGGUAACCAAGCAUUGAAAUAUUUAAUUUAGUUUUUCCCACCAUUUCUCAGUGAAAUUAGUUUUUGAAAAAUCAUUAUUUUUUUCUGUUAUUAUUUGUAUACAUUUUCAAUUGAGCAAAUUAAUAUUCAAAAUUCAAUAACUUAUGAUCUGCUGUACACAAGAUAUUUUUAUGACUUUUCGUGGAUUGCAAUUUAUAAUUGAAAUGUAUUGAAAUAAAUAUCAGAUGCAAUAUUACAGUACAGUCAAUAUCAAGAAAUAGGUGUAUUACAAGAAAUUUCUAACCCACUACAGUAGAAUCUCGUUAUAGCGAGCACGGUAAUAGCGAGAACACGGCUAUAACGAGGUAUUUUUGAGGAAUUUACGGCGUGAUCGCUUGAAGCGCGUUUUUUUUGUCUGCUUUAUCUCCACCCCUCUCGCUUGCCACUAGACAUCUUGCCGUUGACGCCUGUCACAUUCUUCAGCCUUGCAGUCACCACCUAAGUGCGUGGCUUUAAAAAUAGAAUCCCGUCCUUUGUUUUAUCAAACUUCCGUUAGUUAUCUGUGCCGUGUGUAGACAAAGUUUGAGAUUGGAACAGAAACAACGUAAGAAAGUAUUUUUUACAAAUUAGAAAUAUGUAUGUUUUUGUUUUUAUAAUCGCGUAUUUUCACGUUUUUUGUUAUCAUCUUAAAAGAGAUAAUAAUAAAAAGCCGCUCUAAUGAGAUUUAAUUGUUUCUUGGUUAACAAAAACUAUUAAUUAUCAAAUAUUGUUAAUUGUUUAUAUUCUAUUUAUUAUUAUUUACGCGACGUCAUACUGUACGCGUACGCAAUACGACUGGAUUCAUUGCUGCAACAUAACAUAGCAUGUUAUGCAGUAUCAGAAGUAACGAGUAACGUAACUAAUUGUUACAGUAACGAAUACAUACGGGUACACAUUUUUUCGUUACUUUUACACCUCUAGUAGGCACUACCGUAUUUAUUUCCGAAUCGCUAGGGCAGUUUUCUUGUAACUUUUGUUUCGGUCAAUUGUUGGGUAUUUGUCCGGGAAAGGGGUGGUGAUGGUUUGAGUUUAAUCCCAAAUUUAUUUUCUAAACAAGUUUACAGGUUUCUUUAAAUGAAAAAGUAUAGUUUUCCAGCGACUAUUUCGUUUGAGGCGUACGUGCGUUGCCGCAGCCGCACUCCUGCUAUUUUGUAAGGAAUUAAAUCGUCGCGCUACACUAGCACCACCUGUUAGCAACAUUCCGAACCAACAUGGCCGCCAGCAGACAGCCCGCGUCGACACUAGAUAGCAGGACAAUGCUGCGUCGGCCGCGGGCUGAGAUGCUAUACUUACGUGGCGUGGUAGGGUAUUCUGGCAAUUUUGACGCAAUCGGUGAUCGCAUCCAUACUUAUGGGGUAUCGUUUUAAAGAGAAUUCACACAUCUGCUCACAGAAAUUAAUAUUUCGUUAAUAUAACCUGUUAUUUUCCAAUUAUACAGGUUUAAACACAAUUUUUAUGCUAUUUUCGGUUAAUUUUAAUUUUUGGGGGCCAAAAUUUGUCCAAUUCGGUUAUAGCAAGGACACGGUUAUAGCGAGGAUCAAACCCGGAACCGUGACACCUCGUUAUAACGGGACUCUAGUGUAUGUGUCUUGUGUUUAUUUUGCUGCUGAACAAUUUGAACUAGAUGUAGAAGUGAAUUAUCCAAUUUUCAAACCUCACAUGAGUAACGCCCUUACCUUUACAUAACAACAUGACAGACUGCAUUGUCCUCCUAAAGUUUCCUAUCUAUAAACAUAUGAUGAUUAGUAUUUAUAAUAGUGUUAGUGUGUGUGAUAGAGUACAAUAAGGUUUUCGCAGUUUAACAGAAUGCAUCCCCUUCACAGGAACAUUAUGUAGAAAUAACGGCGAAGACAUAGCAAUCUGCAAAUUAUUGUAAGCUCAGAAAACCAUCCGCCCUUCAUUCCAGCCAUUGAUGAUUUCUUACUAAAGAUGUAAAUGUUAUUUUUCCCCUCCCUUUUCUUAAACAUACCACUACUAAAAAUAUUUGUACAGUUUUUUUUUUUAUCUUACCACUACUGCUGUCUCACAUCACCACUUACAGUGGGGAAAAAAAAACAUGUUUAAUGACAGAAUAUGUGCCAAUUUAAUUAAUACUAUUGAGAAGUGGAAGUGUUAACAUCUGUGAUGUCAGCUACUUGUAAAAAGUUUACCUGAUCAUAUAUUUCAAUUAAAUGCAUUAACAAUAAAAUCACUGUAAUAAAAAAUAUCACCUACGCACAUAAAUACCUGUGAUAAUUAAUCUUGCUUUAUACAUCUCUCAAGUGAGGUAGACAUUACUGUUGAAGAACUAAAUUUUUUGGGAACGUUUUAACAGUUCACGUGUAUUAAAAGUUGUUGCUGUAUGUUAACUGUUAGUGUCUGAUUAUUCACAACUGCAUAUGGUCAGUUACAUUAUACAUAGUUCAAACUAUCCAGUGGGUCAGCCAGGUAGCACUUUUAACUAGUAUUUACAUUGCUCUUUAUGUUUAUUUUAUUUGUAAUCAACUACAUAAUUGCAACUUAAAUCCACAACAUAAAUAUUUUCAUAAUGUAAGUGUGUAAGAGAUCUUGUUUGGUUAAAAUAAGAAUAUGACUCACUUUUAUACUUAAUCUUUUACAUGUUUCAAGGAUGAGGCUUCGAAAUGACCCAUCAUGCACUUGUCCAUAAACAAAAUAAUUUUUCAAUUGUUCAACUUUCAUAUAAAUAACUUCUUUUGCAUUCCUAAAAAAAAUUAAUAGUUUGCUGAGGGUAUAUUGAAAUACAUAUGUGAUGAAAACCUUCAUUUAUUCCUAUUUAUGUAACUAAGCAUUUACAUGAUUUUAGGUAUUGUAUUAUAUCAACUAUUACCAAUGUACAUAUCAUUAAUAAAAACUAAUUUUGCUGCUGUCUUGCAA